AGUACCCGGAGAAAAAGCAUCGGCUAACUCCGUGCCAGCAGCCGCGGUAAUACGGAGGAUGCGAGCGUUAUCCGGAUUUAUUGGGUUUAAAGGGUGCGUAGGCGGAUUUCUAAGUCAGCGGUCAAAUGUCGGGGCUCAACCCCGGCCUGCCGUUGAAACUGGAGGUCUUGAGUGGGCGAGAAGUAUGCGGAAUGCGUGGUGUAGCGGUGAAAUGCAUAGAUAUCACGCAGAACUCCGAUUGCGAAGGCAGCAUACCGGCGCCCGACUGACGCUGAGGCACGAAAGCGUGGGUAUCGAACAGGAUUAGAUACCCUGGUAGUCCACGCAGUAAACGAUGAAUGUCUAGCUGUCCGGUUCGAUUGAGGACUGGGUGGCACAGCGAAAGCGUUAAGCAUUCCACCUGGGGA
rnacentral:rRNA from 1 species